rnacentral:rRNA from 1 species
GAUGAACGCUAGCUACAGGCUUAACACAUGCAAGUCGAGGGGAAACGACAUCGAAAGCUUGCUUUUGGUGGGCGUCGACCGGCGCACGGGUGAGUAACGCGUAUCCAACCUGCCCACCACUUGGGGAUAACCUUGCGAAAGUAAGACUAAUACCCAAUGAUAUCCCACGAAGGCAUCCGAAUGGGAUUAAAGAUUUAUCGGUGAUGGAUGGGGAUGCGUCUGAUUAGCUUGUUGGCGGGGUAACGGCCCACCAAGGCAACGAUCAGUAGGGGUUCUGAGAGGAAGGUCCCCCACAUUGGAACUGAGACACGGUCCAAACUCCUACGGGAGGCAGCAGUGAGGAAUAUUGGUCAAUGGGCGAGAGCCUGAACCAGCCAAGUAGCGUGCAGGACGACGGCCCUAUGGGUUGUAAACUGCUUUUAUAGGGGAAUAAAGUGAGCCACGUGUGGCUUUUUGCAUGUACCCUAUGAAUAAGGACCGGCUAAUUCCGUG